UACGUAGGUGGCAAGCGUUGUCCGGAUUUACUGGGCGUAAAGAGCGCGCAGGCGGUCGUUCAAGUCGCGUGUGAAAGCCCCCCGGCUCAACUGGGGAGGGUCACGCGAUACUGAUCGACUCGAAGGCAGGAGAGGGUAGUGGAAUUCCCGGUGUAGUGGUGAAAUGCGUAGAGAUCAGCAGGAACACCCGUGGCGAAGGCGGCCCCCUGGGCCGUACCUGACGCUGAGGCGCGAAGGCUAGGGGAGCGAACGGGG
rnacentral:rRNA from 1 species